rnacentral:tRNA from 3 species
GGGAUAGUAACUUAAUCGGUUAGAGUACCGCCCUGUCACGGCGGAGGUUGCGGGUUCGAGUCCCGUCUGUCCCG